rnacentral:rRNA from 1 species
UCUGAAUAUGGGGGGACCAUCCUCCAAGGCUAAAUACUCCUGACUGACCGAUAGUGAACCAGUACCGUGAGGGAAAGGCGAAAAGAACCCCGGCGAGGGGAGUGAAAAAGAACCUGAAACCGUGUACGUACAAGCAGUGGGAGCCCCACCACCAAAGCAUUUGCUGUACCGCGUUGACGGAGCGAAGCGACGUCAAACCGAUAAAACAGCAGUGUAAAGUGAGCCGCAGGGCGCUUUGCGCGACAGCGCAAAGGCAGGCGGUUUCGCGUAGCGAAAGCGAAUGCUUUGGGGUGGGGUGACUGCGUACCUUUUGUAUAAUGGGUCAGCGACUUAUAUUCUGUAGCAAGGUUAACCGAAUAGGGGAGCCGGAGGGAAACCGAGUCUUAAUUGGGCGUUAAGUUGCAGGGUAUAGACCCGAAACCCGGUGAUCUAGCCAUGGGCAGGUUGAAGGUUGGGUAACACUAACUGGAGGACCGAACCGACUAAUGUUGAAAAAUUAGCGGAUGACCUGUGGCUGGGGGUGAAAGGCCAAUCAAACCGGGAGAUAGCUGGUUCUCCCCGAAAGCUAUUUAGGUAGCGCCUCGUGAAUUCAUCUCCGGGGGUAGAGCACUGUUUCGGCUAGGGGGCCAUCCCGGCUUACCAACCCGAUGCAAACUGCGAAUACCGGAGAAUGUUAUCACGGGAGACACACGGCGGGUGCUAACGUCCGUCGUGAAGAGGGAAACAACCCAGACCGCCAGCUAAGGUCCCAAAGUCAUGGUUAAGUGGGAAACGAUGUGGGAAGGCCCAGACAGCCAGGAUGUUGGCUUAGAAGCAGCCAUCAUUUAAAGAAAGCGUAAUAGCUCACUGGUCGAGUCGGCCUGCGCGGAAGAUGUAACGGGGCUAAACCAUGCACCGAAGCUGCGGCAGCGACACUGUGUGUUGUUGGGUAGGGGAGCGUUCUGUAAGCCUGUGAAGGUGUGUCGUGAGGCAUGCUGGAGGUAUCAGAAGUGCGAAUGCUGACAUAAGUAACGAUAAAGCGGGUGAAAAGCCCGCUCGCCGGAAGACCAAGGGUUCCUGUCCAACGUUAAUCGGGGCAGGGUGAGUCGACCCCUAAGGCGAGGCCGAAAGGCGUAGUCGAUGGGAAACGGGUUAAUAUUCCCGUACUUGGUGUUACUGCGAAGGGGGGACGGAGAAGGCUAUGUUGGCCGGG